UAAUACGUAGGUGGCAAGCGUUGUCCGGAUUUACUGGGUGUAAAGGGCGUGUAGCCGGGUCGGCAAGUCAGAUGUGAAAUGCGGAGGCUCAACCUCCGAGCUGCAUUUGAAACUGCUGGUCUUGAGUAUCGGAGAGGUAAUCGGAAUUCCUUGUGUAGCGGUGAAAUGCGUAGAUAUAAGGAAGAACACCAGUGGCGAAGGCGGAUUACUGGACGACAACUGACGGUGAGGCGCGAAAGCGUGGGGAGCGAACAGG
rnacentral:rRNA from 1 species